GAAAAGAACUUUGAAGAGAGANUUCNAGAGUACGUGAAACCGUUCAGGGGUAAACCUAAGAAACCCAAAAGAUCGAACGGGGAGAUUCAUCGUCAGCGACACCGGCUUCGCGUCGGUGGGCGAUGUCCCGCGGUUUCUCGCGCGGGCACGCUACCGUGCGCGCAUGACCGGCUUCGUCGUCGUGCACUUCUCCCCUAGUAGAACGUCGCGACCCGCUGGGUGUCGGUCUACGGCCCGGGUGAGGUGACUGUCGCGUCGCCGGUAAAACGGCACGCGGCAAACCCUCGGACGCCCGGCCGGCUGCCCGGCGGUACUCGCACGGUAUCAGGCCGCAGUUUGUCUGCGUCAAGCCCGUCGCAAGCGCGCGCCACGGUUACUCGGAGGUACGGACCUAGCGCCGUCCCCGGUCCUGGUCCGCUGUUGGCCGACGGUGACCCUUUGACAGGCCUUACGGGGCGACGUGGGGGGCUUUCGCCGUUCCACGUCCGCCCUAAUACCGGUCGGCGACGCUACUGCUUUGGGUACUCUUAGGACCCGU
rnacentral:rRNA from 1 species